GACGAACGCUGGCGGCGUGCUUAACACAUGCAAGUCGAACGGAAAGGCCCUGCUUUUGUGGGGUGCUCGAGUGGCGAACGGGUGAGUAACCCGUGAGUAACCUGCCCUUGACUUUGGGAUAACUUCAGGAAACUGGGGCUAAUACCGGAUAGGAGCUCCUGCUGCAUGGUGGGGGUUGGAAAGUUUCGGCGGUUGGGGAUGGACUCGCGGCUUAUCAGCUUGUUGGUGGGGUAGUGGCUUACCAAGGCUUUGACGGGUAGCCGGCCUGAGAGGGUGACCGGCCACAUUGGGACUGAGAUACGGCCCAGACUCCUACGGGAGGCAGCAGUGGGGAAUAUUGCACAAUGGGCGGAAGCCUGAUGCAGCAACGCCGCGUGCGGGAUGACGGCCUUCGGGUUGUAAACCGCUUUCGCCUGUGACGAAGCGUGAGUGACGGUAAUGGGUAAAGAAGCACCGGCUAACUACGUG
rnacentral:rRNA from 1 species